AUGGCGGGGGUUGGCGCCGGGACGGGGGCGUUGAGCUCCCUCCUCGGCAAGCUCACCACAUUGCUCAGCGACGAGUACAAGCUGCUCAAGGGCGUACGCAAGGACAUCGCGUUCCUCGAGCGCGAGCUCCGCCGGAUGCAGAUCUUGGUGAACAUCCUGGCGGACAUGGAGAAGCUCGACAAGCUGGCCAAGGACUGGAAGGGCACCAUGCGGGACCUCAGCUACGACAUGGAAGACUGUAUCGACCGCUUCAUGGUCCGUCUCGGCAAGGGAGACGCCAAGCGUGGGUUCAUGAAGAGGACCGUGCGCCGGCUCAACACUAUUUUUGCUCGCCAUGGCAUCGGGACCCAGAUCAAGGAGCUCAAGGCCCGUGUUGUGGAGGAGAGCGAGCGGCGGCAGAGGUUAAAUCUCGACAACUUUGUUACAAGUACACCGAGGACCGUGGAGAUAGAUCCCCGGCUAGCCGCGUUCUAUGAGGAGGCCGAGGGGUUGGUGGCGAUGGAUGUCCCCAUGAACAAGGUUAUGGCCUGGUUGAUGGAGGAUAGCCUGGAGCUGAAGGUGGUGGCCAUUUUUGGAGGUGGGGGGUUGGGGAAGACGACCCUUGCCAUGGAGCUAAAUCGCAAGAUCAAAGGGUACUUUGAGUGCCGAGCUUCUGUGUCAGUGUCGCGCACCCUUGAUCUUGAAAGAUGUCCUAUUUCAAAUCGACCCAGAUGCAUUUAG
rnacentral:rRNA from 1 species